GAGCAACCGUGCCAUUGAGUUAAAAGAUUAGUGAGGACAUGGAGUCUGCUCGCAAGCGUAAAGGGCUCAAAGGGAAGUUGACAAUGCCCUUCUAUCGAGCACCGAAGCCUUCGAUGCAAUUUGGUAGUAAGGUUAAGCCCACUGCACCUCCUGCUGCCUCCCUUGGAUUCCUUGUGGACGAUGUAAAUGCUUCCACCCUUGUGAAAAAGGAGGGAGGAGGUGACUUGGGUGGUGGAGACUCCAUUAGCGAAGUGGAUAAGAGAGCAGCAAGUUAUAUUUCCUAUGUUCAGGAGCGAUUUAGGCUUGAACAAGGCGUCUGAGGACUGGAGGAAGUAGUAGCAGGUGCAAGAAGGAAGGCUGAAGAUUACCUUCUUGUCUGCAGAUUACCUUAACAGCCCUAUCUAUGGAGUUCCACUGGAAAACAGUGUGAUGGUUUUAUGAAUGAUAAGAGGAAAGAAGGGUUAUGUUUCCAUUUGGUAUAUGUGCAUGUGUUGGUAGAGCCAUGUUUUAAAUUAGGUUGAAGAAUGUGUGGUUCAUGAAGGUUUUCUUUAUGUCACAUGAUUCCUUAUGAAAUUUUUCAGUGAAAGAGAUGCCGUUGCUAAGAACAAAAAGUACGGGCACCUGGAGAGACAUUUUAAGUUGGCUUGGGCUGCCCUAUACGGAUGUCUCGAAUGCAACCCAUCAACCACAAAGUAUAUAUGGGCCGUUUUGCAUUAGGAUAGGGGUUGCAUUUUUUUCGUGUGAAAAAAAAGAUUAAACUUCCUUGGUGCGAAUCCACCAAUAGAUCGGGAUCUAUGCAGGUAGAUAAAUAGCUCAGAGUGGUUUGAGAUCCGUGGAGUGCGAUCCUAUAGUUGAUAUUGUGAAAGAAGGUCAAAUAUUCUUUCACGCAAAGAUACAACCCGAACCCUUUUCAUUGCUCGGACCUUUAUAUAUAUGUGACCUAUUAUUGUUAUUGUUGUCAUUUUUAUUAUUAUUAUUAUUUUUGUUAUUG
rnacentral:lncRNA from 1 species